AUUGAACGCUGGCGGCAGGCUUAACACAUGCAAGUCGAGCGGAGAUGAGGUGCUUGCACCUUAUCUUAGCGGCGGACGAGUGAGUAAUGCUUAGGAAUCUGCCUAUUAGUGGGGGACAACAUUCCGAAAGGAAUGCUAAUACCGCAUACGCCCUACGGGGGAAAGCAGGGGAUCUUCGGACCUUGCGCUAAUAGAUGAGCCUAAGUCGGAUUAGCUAGUUGGUGGGGUAAAGGCCUACCAAGGCGACGAUCUGUAGCGGGUCUGAGAGGAUGAUCCGCCACACUGGGACUGAGACACGGCCCAGUCUCCUACGGGAGGCAGCAGUGGGGAAUAUUGGACAAUGGGCGGAAGCCUGAUCCAGCCAUGCCGCGUGUGUGAAGAAGGCCUUUUGGUUGUAAAGCACUUUAAGCGAGGAGGAGGCUACCUGGAUUAAUACUCUAGGAUAGUGGACGUUACUCGCAGAAUAAGCACCGGCUAACUCUGUGCCAGCAGCCGCAGUAAAAC
rnacentral:rRNA from 1 species